rnacentral:sRNA from 1 species
GCUGGGCAUGGUGGCACAUGCCUGUAAUCCCAGGAAUACAGGAGGCUGAGGCAGGAGGAUCUUGAGUUCAAAGCCAGCUUCAGCAAAGGGGAGGUGCUUAGCAACUCAGUGAGACCCUGUCUCUA